UACGAAGGGGGGCUAGCGUUGCUCGGAAUCACUGGGCGUAAAGGGUGCGUAGGCGGGUCUUUUAAGUCAGGGGUGAAAUCCUGGAGCUCAACUCCAGAACUGCCUUUGAUACUGAAGAUCUUGAGUUCGGGAGAGGUGAGUGGAACUGCGAGUGUAGAGGUGAAAUUCGUAGAUAUUCGCAAGAACACCAGUGGCGAAGGCGGCUCACUGGCCCGAUACUGACGCUGAGGCACGAAAGCUAGGGGAGCGAACAGG
rnacentral:rRNA from 1 species